rnacentral:rRNA from 1 species
CCUACGGGCGGCAGCAGUGGGGAAUAUUGGACAAUGGACCGAGAGUCUGAUCCAGCACUUCUGUGUGCACGAUGCAGUUUUUCGGAAUGUAAAGUGCUUUCAGUUGGGAAGAAAUAAAUGACGGUACCAACAGGAGAAGUGACGGCUAAAUACGUGCCAGCAGCCGCGGUAAUACGUAUGUCACGAGCGUUAUCCGGAUUUAUUGGGCGUAAAGCGCGUCUAGGUGGUUAUGUAAGUCUGAUGUGAAAAUGCAGGGCUCAACUCUGUAUUGCGUUGGAAACUGUGUAACUAGAGUACUGGAGAGGUAAGCGGAACUACAAGUGUAGAGGUGAAAUUCGUAGAUAUUUGUAGGAAUGCCGAUGGGGAAGCCAGCUUACUGGACAGAUACUGACGCUAAAGCGCGAAAGUGUGGGUAGCAAACAGGAUUAGAUACCCCAGUAGUC